rfam:Roseovarius tolerans strain EL-164 ROTO_contig000019, whole genome shotgun sequence.
CAAUCGUCACAACGGCUUCCUGGCGUGGCGGUGAAACACAAUGGAGCA